rnacentral:lncRNA from 1 species
UCUGUCUCAGGAAUAAUAACCAGAGCCAGCCUCUUAUAGAGCUAAAAGAAAUACACAGUUGGUUAGGAACUGUAGAACUCUUACUGGGAACUCUGUCUCUCAACUUCUACCAUUCCAGGUGUUUGCUGAAGAGCAAAUUUGGACCACUCACUCCUGUCCACAUGGGCCAAACUAACGAGGCUUUCUCAUAUGUUGUAAACAUUUGAGACUCAGAUUCUUAUCAUUUGGUUUUGAACUGAUUAAAAGGAAAAGUAGGAGCGAAAAGUAAAUGAAAAGAGAUAGGAAGGUUAGUCCUUUAAAGGUUGAGAAAUAAUUUAUAUAUGGAUGUAAUCCUUGAUCUUUUAAUGGAUUGUGAAUUUUCUUAAUCAUGAAGAAUAGAUUUUAACACAAUUCAUUCAACAUUCCUUUAACCAAUGUUUAACCCAUACCUACUAUUUGUUUAUUAGGUACUGUACUAGAGAGUAUUGAUAUAAGGGUGAAUAAGACAAAACCUCAUCUCUAUGUUUACAGUCUUAUAUUAAAGACAAUCAUGAAAGUUCCUGUAUGGCUUAGCGGUUAAGGAACCCGACUAGUAUUCAUGAGGAUGCAGGUUCGAUUCCAGCCUAAAAAAGACAAGACAAAAAAAACAAACAAACUAGUUACAAGGUAGUGUGACGAUUAUUAUGACAAAGUUAAGCACAGGACAUCAGAUUCUAGAGGAGGUAAUUUGUAAACCAAGACCCCAGGGGUGUGUAUAAGCAGGUCAGUAGAAUUUUCACAUUCCCCAAAAAUAAAUCUUUUCAUAGUCAUAGUCUCAAAUUGAGAAUAUUUUGAAAAUGUUAUCGUUUACAUUUAUCUAAAUUCUAGUUUUCUUAAUUUUCUUUACUAGAUCUUAAAUUUUCGUGUAAGAGGUUAAGUUAAAAAUCAUCUGUUAAACUAUGUUCCCUUUAAUACAUUGUGAAGUAUGAAUUACAGGAUAGUUAUUAACAUUUGGUAUAUUGUAGAUCAGGUUUCUACUGGAGAGUUCAAAUUCAUCAUGUUUCAUCAUAAAAUUUAAUAUUAAAUUGUUUCAUUUUAAGUGGUAGCUGAUAAUACCAGAAAAUUUAAAUAUAUAUAGAAUUACUUUACAAGUAAUUCAUACGUUUUGUAGCUUUCAUACAUUUUGUAGCUUUAUUAGAGCUGGUCUGACCCAAGGCCUAGACAGACCAACUGUGCCCCUGGAUUAACAAGUGUUUACUGUAUGAUUUCCUUUUCCUUCCUUAUUGCUCUUUAUCUGUUUCUGGUUCACAGAGUUGAUAUGUAGAUAACUGUUGCUUCUCUUACUUCCUCUUUCUGAUAGGGCUAAAUCUAACUCAGUAAUUUACAAAAAUAAGCACAACUAACAAGUUUUUCAAGUCUACUUUUAAAAUGAUACUUUGUCCUAAUCUUCAUAGGCUUUCUGUUCAGAUAAACUACGUAGUCACAGUAAACUGGUGGCUUAUUUUAUUUACUGAUAGCUUAUUGUGGCUACUAAUAUUGUUUUGUGUUUCACAAUUCAGAUAUUCUGUGAACAUCCAGUACAUGACUGGCUCUUGGAUAAGCUGUGGUUUAUAGAGUGCUAUACUGAGCAAGCUGGCUUUCUAUCUCCUUACUCCUUCUCUAUCUUAGCUCUUUAGCUUAAAGGUACAGACAUCUCCCCUUUUCUCAUACAACUAGAACAGUACUAAUAGCUUUUGUUGAGUAAUGCUUACUUUAUAGAAGACACUAUGCUAGUUCCUAUACAUACCUAUAACGUGUAAUAGGCAAAAACAAUCCUAUUGGUUAGGUACCAUUAUAACAUGAUCAUCAUUUUACCAAUAGGGAAAAUGUAACUCCCUCAAUAUCAUGCAAUUGAAGAGAGGGAGCUAGAAUUCAAUUCCAGAUUUGACCAAUAGCAAAAGCCAGCCACUUAACCACCAUCCUACCUCAUAUAAAUCGGCUGCUGUCCCAUUGAUCAUAUGAAUAGCUUCUCUUAGUGCUUGCCUCACACAGGAUGACCCCACUGACUGAACCACACAGAACCAUCAUGUGGCACUAGCUUCAAAGGGGCAAAUGCCGAUUAUGGUUACAGUCCACAAGGAAACUGAACCGCUAUGCUAUCAAGAGAAACUCUAUGCCACAUUAAUUUAUCUGCACAACAAAGAUGGUUCACCACCACCACCACCACCACCACCACCACUACCACCACUUUUGGUUGUUAGGGACCCCCCUCAGCCCUCAUCUAUGCACCCUUACCUCCUUUUCUUUUCCUGGAAGUGGUGUUAUAGCAGUGUCUUUGGCAAGGUUAGCAAGUAACUCACUUAUUUACUUUGGUGGACAAUAAAUAACUGUAGCCUGUUAAUAAUUGUGCAUAUGUUUUAUGUGUCUUUGGAUAAUUUGAGAUUGAAUCAAUAUUCCUUUAUGCUUGGUCUCCUGUUAUAUAACUCUAUUAACAAAAAGUACAUAAGAAAAAAUAAUAAAUAAUUUAUUAGGGCAUUUCAUAAGUGAUACACAUUCAUGUAUUUGUGACUUUUGUUGAGAGUUAAAUUUUUUUUACUCAAUAAUAUUAAAAAAACCCCUGUCAUAUGUUUUCCUGCUUUAAAGUGUACUAGAUCUGUCACAAAUGCCUUAAACUGUGUUGUGUUUGUAUCUUUAUGUGAGCUGUAUGUAUGUAUUUUUGUUUUUUAAAGCUGUCCUUUAGAACAAUUUUGGUUUCACAGGAAUAGGAAGUUAUUAUAUAGAUACUUUUCAGCACGUCUAAAUUGUUAACUCUAUGAGAGUAAGUUGUUUUCUGAUUUAUCUUUUAGCAUAUCACAAUGUCAAACCCUUUGCAUGUAAUAGAUGCUCACUAAAUACUGUUGACUUAGUGAAUAAAUUAGUUUGUAAUAGGUUGAACAUAUUCGUAGUCCUAAAUUGUUCUUGCCAUCAUUUCACUCUGCAUAACUGAAGAAGUUUUACUAAGAUGAUUAAAAAUGUGUUAUAGAAUAACUGAUGUAGAUUCUAAAGCAGUGGGGUAAAGGAGACCUUGGAUAUACCCCUAUGAGGAAGCAGUGAGGAUGAGUUUCUCACUAUAGGUAUGAUUAGUGGCUUUUAUGUAUGACUGAAUUAAUUUAUUUCACUUAUGAAGGUUAGACUUAUGAUUUCCAUAUGGCACUCAAAAACUUUUUUCUUUUACCCCACUCUGACAAUUAAUAAAUUUCCUAUUAUCAAAAUAAUGUUUAUUAUAGAGAUUAACUAUAUAUGAAAGUAAAAAGAAAAAAUUAAAAUCAUACAUAAUCUUAUCAUUAUCCAGAUAUAAUCACUCAGUAUUUUUGUGUUUUCUUUCUGUUUUUUUUUCCUCAGCCACACAAAUUUAUUAUGUCCAUAAUAAAUGUCUAUAAUGUUUAUAAAACAUUGUAGUAUCACAAGUUACCUUAUGGAUCGUUUUAAAAUAUUUCUUUAUGUGGAUGUGCUAUGCUUUAAUUAUCUUUCUACUGUCAGACGUUUAUGUUACUUUUUGGUUUCUUGUUAUCAUACAAAUCAUCUUUUUAACAUAGAUCUCUGUUGAUUUUCAGUUGGAUAAGAUAGACUCCUAGAAAUAAAAUCACUGAGUAAAGAUUCUGAACUUUAAGUUCUUGAGACAUAUUCCUCAAUGGUUUUCCAGAAAAUUUUUAGCAAUUCACACUCUCAUCAGAGGUGUAUAAAGAUGUUUCAUUAAGUCAUCAUCAGAAUUAUUUCUUCUACACACUUUUAAGCAAGUGUUAUCAACCAGACCUAAUAAGAGUAAUAGGUUACUGUCAUCAACUAUACUCAGGAGUAUAUAAAAUCAAUAUUUUAAUUUGCUUUCAGAAAGAAUUAUGAAAUAUUCUAAGGGUCACAGUGGUUCAGAGGCUGUGUGUUGCAAUACAGUUUCCACCUACAUGCAAAUAUUUUUUGGGUCUGAUUGUAAACUGCAUACUUUAAGCUGGACUUCUGUAUUGAUACCUACUUCAUUGGCAGUUUUCUCAAGUGUGUUGGGUUGAGGCAUUUUAUACAGUGUGGCUUUAGCAUUCCCUCUUGAAGCACUCAAUCUUAUUUCUAUUUGCUGUUGUAACUUGAAGUUAAUGAGUUUAUUUUUAUUUAUUUAUGAAUUUUUGUGGAUUGCUAUAUAAAAGCACCUUUCAUCCUCACUGAUAUUCUGUCCAAACUGAGGGUAGAUGAAUCUGAGUGGUUUCAUUUUAGAGUGUAAUAGUCAUGUUUGUGUUAGGAAGGCAAUAGUCUUGGAAGAAUAUUUUAAAAAUCAUGUUUAAGUGUUUGUCUUAUCCUCUAAUGAAAGUAUCUUCCUUUCAGAGGUCUUGGUGAGUUUUAGUCCCUUGCUGGUACUUGUUUUUUAAUCAAAUUGCUCCAAGACCCUAUGUAUGUGUAUAAUCACACAUAUGAAUUUAGGGUGAACUGAAAUAUCUUAUGGGGAAAAUAUAUAUAUAUAUGUAUAUAUAAUAAUUCACCUCUUUAAGGACUGCAGUAUUUUCUACUUCCCUGCAGAAAUUCCCUCAGCAUAAACACUGGCUCCAGUUAGAAAAUUAAUUUUUAUUUAUAUAUUUGUUUUACAUUUCAGAGUACCUGAUAAAUCAUGUCUGUUUGUGCCCUGUAGCUGCAGCUGUGUAUAUGAGUUACCUAUAGUUAUGUUAAUCUGUGUAUUAACUGACAAUUUAUUAACUGAAAGCUUAUUACAAUUUUGUAUAUUGAAGUUGCUUAUAGAUUUCAUAAUGUGAAAGUCUUAAUUUUUGAGUACUUAUAAAUAUUGACAGUGUCAAAGGAUAGUACAUUUUAUACAUACCUUCUAUUUCACUCUAUCGUAAGAAUCAAACAUUUCUAAGAUUUGAUGAGGCAAAACAAUUUUAAUUACAAAGCAUUCAUCUGUUAAAGAGAUUAAAGAGUGUUUUAUGGAACUGUACUCUUAAAGCUACUGCUGAUAUGAGGUCAGAGACUAUUGCAAAGCCACUGUUUUUGACAUUCUUGUUUUAUUUUCAAACUUUUUUAUGUGCUACUUUGAGUUUAUUUUCUGUGGUGGUUGCUUUAGUUGAAGAGUAGUUGCAGAUGUACUGUCUGCUACACCUUCUUAAGCACUAGAGAAAUGGGGGAAAAAAAUGUUUGCACCUGUUUAAAAAUCUCAACUGUGUGGUGCUGUGGCUCCUGGGCAACAGGCAGGAAUUCUCAAAAGCUUGGUUGCACCUGCUCAAUUGUUGCUCGCAGCUGUGCCAUAUGAGUGAGCACACAGAGAAUCUUGUUAGUUUUCUUGUACUGUUAUGUAUUUUGUGUACUCCAAGUUUGAAAGAUUCUUACUUGAGGUAGACCUUGAACUAUUACAUUGGUUUAUGAUAAAACUCUGAUUUUAGCUCCCCAAAUUCUAUCCAAAUUCUUUGUUCUGAGUCUCACAUCUUUUUUUAGUAGCCGUUGACUGCCCUAGAUAAUGUCUAUGUUGACUUCUCUAAAGGAUACCUGGGGAGAGUAGAUCUCUGUAGAUAACUGGGUUGAUAAUAAUUUUUGUCCUCGCAGAGACAUUUUGUGUUUGGCUCAAUUUCACCAUGUUGGCAAUCCCACUAUGCGAGGCUGGAUGUAGUUAUUGAUCCAUUUAGCUGAACAGAUUUGAAAGCAUUUGGCUAUUAGUGGACACAUGGGGCAUAGUCAGAAAAUGUAAGAGUAUAUUCUAAGAUGAUUUCCUGAUUUGUGCCUGUGCCUCUGUUGCAAUUGGGUGGAAGUGAGAGAGAAAAAAGCGAACAUUAAAUAAUAAUCUUAGAAAAGGGGCUAAAAUCGAGAUGUAAAUUUUAAGGUUGGAAUAUCAUCCUUUACUUUUAUCAAGUUCUAGUCACCUGAUAUUUGUUCCUAAAUGUUGCUAUCAGUGAUGUUAACUUUCUUUUAGGUAAUAGCUCUAUAUAUCUUCUGACAAAUAUCUUUUUAAUACAGACAAGCUAUUAUAGACUAUCUUAUACUAGUUAGGUUAAGUUCUAUAAAUGUAAUAUAAGAAGUAGCAACUCAACAUACAAAGUAUUUAUUUAAAUAAUUUGGAAGUACCAAAUUCCCAGUAUUGAACACUUAUUCAAAUAACUUGCAUUAUUCUUCUUAAAAAUGCUGGAGUUCCCGUUGUGACGCAGCAGAAAUGAAUCCAACCAGGAACCAUGAGGUUGUGGGUUCAAUCCCUGGCCUCGAUCAAUGUGAUAAGGAUCUGGCAUUGCCAUGAGCUGGGGGUACGUCGCAGACAUGGCUCAGAUCUGGUCUUGCUGUGAUUCUGGCGUGGGCUGGCAGCUAUAGCUCCAAUUAGACCCCUAGCCUGGGAACCUCCAUAUGCCACUGGUGCAGCCCUAAAAGGACAAAGGACAAAAAAAUAAAAAUAAAUUUAAAAAAAUUUUUUUAAAUAAAAAAUUCUAAGGAAGAGAGUUCCCUGGUAGCUCAGUGGGUUAAGCAUCUGGCAUUGUUAAGGCUGUGGUUCAGGUCACUGCUGUGUCACUGAUUUGAUCCCCGGCCCAGAAACAUCUGCAUGCUGCCAAUGCAACCAAAAAAAAAAAAAAAAAA